UAUAGUGCAGUGCUACAGGAUAUUUCUGCUGCAGCCAACUGCCUGCAUUUUGGCAGUUUGAAUCUCACCAGGCUCAAGGUUGACUCAGCCUUCCAUCCUUCCGAGGUGGGUAAAAUGAGGACCCAGAUUGUUGGGGGCAAUAUGCUUGACUCUUUUGCUGGGUAAG